rnacentral:rRNA from 2 species
CCGAACCGACUAAUGUUGAAAAAUUAGCGGAUGACCUGUGGCUGGGGGUGAAAGGCCAAUCAAACCGGGAGAUAGCUGGUUCUCCCCGAAAGCUAUUUAGGUAGCGCCUCGUGAAUUCAUCUCCGGGGGUAGAGCACUGUUUCGGCUAGGGGGCCAUCCCGGCUUACCAACCCGAUGCAAACUGCGAAUACCGGAGAAUGUUAUCACGGGAGACACACGGCGGGUGCUAACGUCCGUCGUGAAGAGGGAAACAACCCAGACCGCCAGCUAAGGUCCCAAAGUCAUGGUUAAGUGGGAAACGAUGUGGGAAGGCCCAGACAGCCAGGAUGUUGGCUUAGAAGCAGCCAUCAUUUAAAGAAAGCGUAAUAGCUCACUGGUCGAGUCGGCCUGCGCGGAAGAUGUAACGGGGCUAAACCAUGCACCGAAGCUGCGGCAGCGACACUGUGUGUUGUUGGGUAGGGGAGCGUUCUGUAAGCCUG